AACGAACGCUGGCGGCAUGCCUAACACAUGCAAGUCGAACGAGACCUUCGGGUCUAGUGGCGCACGGGUGCGUAACGCGUGGGAAUCUGCCCUUGGGUUCGGAACAACAGUUGGAAACGACUGCUAAUACCGGAUGAUGACUUCGGUCCAAAGAUUUAUCGCCCAGGGAUGAGCCCGCGUAGGAUUAGCUUGUUGGUGAGGUAAAAGCUCACCAAGGCGACGAUCCUUAGCUGGUCUGAGAGGAUGAUCAGCCACACUGGGACUGAGACACGGCCCAGACUCCUACGGGGGGCAGCAGUGGGGAAUAUUGGACAAUGGGCGAAAGCCUGAUCCAGCAAUGCCGCGUGAGUGAUGAAGGCCUUAGGGUUGUAAAGCUCUUUUACCCGGGAUGAUAAUGACAGUACCGGGAGAAUAAGCCCCGGCUAACUCCGUGCCAGCAGCCGCAGUAAUAC
rnacentral:rRNA from 1 species